GUGAUCAUCUAGUUUCAUUAUGGGUCAUGAUUCCUCCAGCUGAGAUCCUUAGAUGAGCCACAUUGGAGCUCUACACUGCUGAACAUAGUUCCUGUGAGCAUCUGUCUGGUGCCUGGGCUUGGGAGUUAAGUCUGUUGUAGAGAACAUCUAGCCACUAUACCAAGAAGGGCCUCCAUGUUUACUGCUGACCAUGAGCUCACCCACAGGUACAAAACUUAUAUAUGCUCAUUGGAGAAGAGGAAGAAGAAGGAGGAGGAGGAAGAGGAAGAAGAAGAAGAUGAGGAUGAUGAAAGAGAGGAAGGAAGGAAGGAAGGAAGGAAGGAAGGAAGGAAGGAAGGAAAAGGAAGGAAGAAAAAGAAAGGAAGGAUGAAAGAGAAGGAAAGAAGGAAAAGAAAUUCUAGCUUUGAGAAUCUUGGAUGGCUCAUCCAGAUACUGCCAAUCCCUGGGCUGGUCAGUGGCCUUUGACCUGUGUAGCCUGGCUCAGAAAAAUGAAUGAGAUCAGUCACAUUCUCCCUCUCAGGAAUGUGGCCUCUAAAACUCAGAAGGAAGUAGUACUUGUGAAGAAACUGAUCCCAUUUGGACUGUAUGGUGCUGUCCAGACCCUCGUCUAGGAUGGCAGCACCUAUGGUCCCCAGCUGCAGCCUUCGUGUUGCACAUGAGGACAACUCUGAGACCAACACAAUUCCAAAGCUCCUCGCAGGGCUGGCUGAAGCCUUUGUUGAGGCUGCUCUGCUGCUCAAUUUCUCCCCCUACCCACUCCUCCUUCUCCCUUCGCCCCCACACCCCCAUGGACAUUAGCCAUGUCCAUGAUAAGCUUUCUGCUCACUAAUCUUCACCUCAGAGUCUGUUUCUAGGGGGACCAACCUGCCACAGGGUAGGAAGAAAGGAUGAUGCGUGGAAUCAGGUGUGUCUGGCACAGGCCCUUUCCUCCUGGCCUGAGUCCUGUUAUCUUUACAUCCCACGUUCCCUGGCUUCUGUCCUCCUGGAGAUUUGCUUACCUGAUACUCCAAAGGACAAAGGAUAAGUUUCGCAGAGAUGUAAGGCCAGAUUUAGUAAUAUCUAGCUGAGCCUUAGUUUCUUCAUCUGUAAAAGGAGCCUUUGCCAGGGCCGCUCCACCCAUUGUGUCUUUCCCUCCACACUUCAUCCAGAGCAUUCGCCAGUGCCAUGGGGGUGAUACAGCAGGAGAUGGGUUCCUAUUGGGUUGCAUUUCACUGAGGAUAAUAGGAUAAACAGCUGCUUUCACAAUUAGCCUUUUCAUGAAAAUGACGUGAGAUCAUUGUUGCUGUUUGAAGCACUUCAACAGGGUGGGGUUUCUGAAGCCCCAUUUUAAUUAAAUAGUGCCCUCCCCACCCUGGCCCAACAUAAAACCUCCAGAGUUUCGACCAUCAAACAGAGUCCAGAUCUGUAAGCCUAAUCUAGGAUCCUGUGAUUUGUCAGAACCUUGUCCUCUGUUACAUGGCAUCAGGCACUCAUACCCAUGACUCCCUAGACAUUCCUGCCUCUGCACCUUUGCCUAUACUGACCCUGGCUGCUGAGGCCGGGCUCACAUAACCGGUCUUCUACAAAGUCAUUUGAGAACACCCAAGUCAAAAGCAUUUUGUUUGUAUGCUGAUGAUAACAUUUGCUAUUAGCUGCCUUGUGUUAAGGGUCAACUAGGUUAACUAGCUACAAUGCUUCUUUAGUUUAAAAAAAAAAAAAAGGCACCUGGGAGGCUCAGUGGUUGAGCAUCUGCCUUCAGCUCAGGUCAUGAUCCUAGGGUCCUGUGAUCGAGUUCCGCAUCAGGCUCCCUGCGAGGAGCCUGAUUCUCCCUCUGCCUAUGUCUCUGCCUCUCUCUCUCUGUGUCUCUCAUGAAUAAAUAAAUAAAGGCUUAAGAAAAAAAAGAGCUGCAUGUCCUCAUGACUUAGUAUCUU
rnacentral:lncRNA from 1 species